rnacentral:rRNA from 1 species
CCCUUAGAUGUCCUGGGCCGCACGCGCGCUACACUGACCAGUGCAACAAGCAUCCGUCCUUGGCCGACAGGCUCGGGCAAUCUUUGAACGCUGGUCGUGAUGGGGAUAGACUUUUGCAAUUUUUGGUCUUCAACGAGGAAUUCCUAGUAAACGCAAGUCAUCAACUUGCAUUGAUUACGUCCCUGCCCUUUGUACACACCGCCCGUCGCACCUACCGAUUGAAUGGUCCGGUGAAGCCUCCGGAUUGGCGCGCACCUCGGUGCCGCCGAGAAGUUGGCUAAACCUUACCAUUUAGAGGAAGGUGAAGUCGUAACA